CCGCGUUGGACCGCACACAAGUCUGUUGGAAUACAGCGGCACAGUGGUGAUACCCCCGUACACGGUGCGGACGCCCAGCGCUUUGUGAUACACUUUCAAAGAGUCGAGUUGUUUGGGAAUGCAGCUCAAAUUGGGUGGUAAAUUCCAUCUAAAGCUAAAUAUUGGCGAGAGACCGAUAGCGAACAAGUACCGUGAGGGAAAGAUGAAAAGCACUUUGGAAAGAGAGUUAACAGUACGUGAAAUUGUUGGAAGGGAAACGCUUGAAGUCAGACUUGCUUGCCGGAGCUUGCUUCGGUUUGCAGGCCAGCAUCAGUUUUUCGGGGUGGAUAAUGGCGGUUUGAAGGUAGCAGUCUCGUGCUGUGUUAUAGCUUUCCGCUGGAUACACCCUGGGGGACUGAGGAACGCAGCGUGCUUUUAGCGAAGGUUUCGACCUUUUCACGCUUAGGAUGCUGGUGGAAUGGCUUUAAACGAC
rnacentral:rRNA from 1 species